rnacentral:rRNA from 1 species
AGAGUUUGAUCAUGGCUCAGAACGAACGCUGGCGGCAGGCUUAACACAUGCAAGUCGAACGCGUGUAGCAAUACACGAGUGGCGCACGGGUGAGUAACGCGUGGAUAUCUGCCUUUUGGUUCGGAAUAACUCCGGGAAACUGGAGCUAAUACCGGAUGGUUCCUACGGGAUAAAGAUUUAUCGCCAAAAGAUGAGUCCGCGUACGAUUAGCUAGUUGGUGAGGUAAUGGCUCACCAAGGCGACGAUCGUUAGCUGGUCUGAGAGGACGAUCAGCCACACUGGGACUGAGACACGGCCCAGACUCCUACGGGAGGCAGCAGUGGGGAAUAUUGGACAAUGGGGGCAACCCUGAUCCAGCCAUGCCGCGUGAGUGAUGAAGGCCUUCGGGUUGUAAAGCUCUUUGGCGGGGACGAUGAUGACGGUACCCGCAGAAUAAGCCCCGGCUAACUUCGUG